rnacentral:rRNA from 1 species
CCUACGGGAGGCAGCAGUGGGGAAUAUUGCACAAUGGGGGAAACCCUGAUGCAGCAACGCCGCGUGAAGGAAGACGGUUUUCGGAUUGUAAACUUCUGUUCUUAGUGAAGAAUAAUGACGGUAGCUAAGGAGCAAGCCACGGCUAACUACGUGCCAGCAGCCGCGGUAAUACGUAGGGGGCAAGCGUUAUCCGGAUUUACUGGGUGUAAAGGGAGCGUAGACGGCAGUGCAAGUCUGGAGUGAAAGGCGGGGGCUCAACCCCCGGACUGCUCUGGAAACUGUACGGCUGGAGUGCAGGAGAGGUAAGUGGAAUUCCUAGUGUAGCGGUGAAAUGCGUAGAUAUUAGGAGGAACACCAGUGGCGAAGGCGGCUUACUGGACUGUAACUGACGUUGAGGCUCGAAAGCGUGGGGAGCAAACAGGAUUAGAUACCCGUGUAGUC